rnacentral:lncRNA from 1 species
CCAGGUGCCCCUCAAGUAUCUUUUUGAAUGAGCAGAACUGGAUAGUUCAGAGGUUACUCUAACUUUGAGCAUGCAUUCUCCUGUGACCUUGGCAAGGAGUGCUUUCCCUGGGUGAUUUCCAAAAUAUUAACAGGGCACAAAUUAUAGUGGACUCAACCACGCAUCAGCAAGACUUCCAGCUUUGAACACCAGGGUGCUGCACACAGCACGUGAGGCUUCAGAUCAGCCCUGCUGCCUCGGUGGUGGCCUCACUUGGCCGGGUGUACAGAAAACCUUGACUCAGUGUUUGUUCUACGAUCUGACUCAUUGUAACAUGUUGAUUGUCCCAAACAGGAACUAGAGACACAGUGUCCCAUCUCCAUCCCAGAGGUCAGGUGGGGCCAGCUCCCGCCUGACGCAUCCCAUGGGCUGAGCUUUUAGCUGUAAACUGCUGUGGAUGGUCUGGCUUCUCUCAGAGAUUGUGGGAUAGAAGGGGCCACCACAUUUUUUUCAGAGGUUUCAAAGGUUACUCAGUCUAUUUUAUAGACUCCCCCAAAGAUGGUUAUGAUGACACACAAAUUGUUCCUUCACAGUUUGAGCAAUCAUGAAAUACGUCCCAUAAUUCCUCACCAUUUCUGAGCUCUGGGCCAGUUCCAAAUAAUAAAAGCCAUCUUUCUCAGUGACUGCCUUUCUCUGCUAGUUGUGAGGGACAAAGGACAGGGCACCACACUGACUGCGUGAAAACGUAAGCCACGUCUACCAUGCUAUUGAUACUUUUCCUCUUCAAAAGCAGCGAUGUCCCGUGAAAGGUGACUCUCCAAAGUGGUUCUACCAGCCAUGUGGUCAGCUUUGGGGCUGGUGUUUCAACUAAGGAGAGGAAACGUAGGUAAACUCGAUUGGAAUAAUAACCGGAAAAAUUGCACCAAAAGAGGUGAGGACAGAUCCAGAACCUUCCUGAUCGAUUCAGCUGGCAUCUGUGAGGACACCACUGGACCUCAGCUGAUGGAGUCCACUGCAGUCGUGACUCCAGAACCAUCUGCAGCUUCCACCUGAGAGCAUCCUUUCUGCCCUCAAAUCACUCCCUUUCCUUCUCACAUCUGAAAAUCUCACCAUAAUACAUAAUUCUUCCCUUUUCCUUAACUAACCUCAAAUGCUGCCAAUGAUUUUUCUGAGACGUCUCUUGAAUCUGUCAUGUUUGUCUAUCUCUGUGGCCACAGCUAGUCUUCUUAAUCCUGCCUUCUCUUUAUAAAACCCAUCUUCCCCUCUUGCUACCUCAGUGAUUGUAGUCUAAAACUUGGUGCUCCUACCUAAAUAAAUAUAUUUUCUCCAGGAUAAAUUCCA